CUACGGGACGCAGCAGUGGGGAAUAUUGCACAAUGGGCGCAAGCCUGAUGCAGCCAUGCCGCGUGUAUGAAGAAGGCCUUCGGGUUGUAAAGUACUUUCAGCGGGGAGGAAGGGAGUAAAGUUAAUACCUUUGCUCAUUGACGUUACCCGCAGAAGAAGCACCGGCUAACUCCGUGCCAGCAGCCGCGGUAAUACGGAGGGUGCAAGCGUUAAUCGGAAUUACUGGGCGUAAAGCGCAUGCAGGCGGUUUGUUAAGUCAGAUGUGAAAUCCCCGGGCUCAACCUGGGAACUGCACCUGAUACUGGCAAGCUUGAGUCUCGUAGAGGGGGGUAGAAUUCCAGGUGUAGCGGUGAAAUGCGUAGAGAUCUGGAGGAAUACCGGUGGCGAAGGCGGCCCCCUGGACGAAGACUGACGCUCAGGUGCGAAAGCGUGGGGAGCAAACAGGAUUAGAUACCCGGGUAGUC
rnacentral:rRNA from 1 species